rnacentral:misc_RNA from 1 species
UCCGAGUUGACCCCGGCAGUCUCCUAUGAGUCCCCGGCUUGAACCGCUGGCAACAUAGGACAAGGGUUGCGCUCGUUGCGGGACUUAACCCAACACCUCACGGCACGAGCUGACGACAGCCAUGCAGCACCUGAACCGGCAGUCCCCGAAGGGAAAAUCCUAUUUCUAGGAUGGUCCGCCGUUGUCUAGCCCAGGUAAGGUUCUUCGCGUUGCGUCGAAUUGAACCACAUGCUCCACCGCUUGUACGGGCCCCCGUCAAUUCCUUUGAGUUUUAAUCUUGCGACCGUACUCCCCAGGCGGGAUGCUUAAUGCGUUAGCUGCGCCACUGAAGGGUAAACCCACCAAUGGCUAGCAUCCAUAGUUUACGGCGUGGACUAC